GGUGCAACAAUAAUAAAUGAGCUAGUAAAAGGAGUAAAUACAUUUUAUGAUAAUAAACAAGAUACAAUAGGAACCAAAAACCAAUGGUAAGUUUAAUAAUAGCUUAAGGUGUCUAGCUAGCAUUAGAAGCGAGUGAUGUGACGUGUGAGCACGCGGGUAGUUAGGAUGUCAUAGAGUAUGUAAUUCAAUAGCAUAGUCUAAUGCUACCAAUGUUUGCAGGAUCGUGUUAUAAUUGGAGACUUCAAUGGGUUCUCCAAGGUAGAGUUCGAGUAAUUGGAAUCCAGUGGGAGUUCGAGUCAGGAGUCUAAUGCAGCCAAGAUGAUGUUUCUUUGGCUGCAGGUACUACGGUAUAGUCGAUGGGUCGGUAGCAGUGUGCUUGGGAUAUUAUGACUGAAGCUCACCGCGACGGUUGUAAUUGUCGGACUACGGGUUGUCCACUAUUUUAUAGGUUUGGUAUAGCUUGUGACGUUUGUGUCACAUAUUCUUUGUAAAGCCAUAGUUGUUUUGUAAAUAUUGUGUUAAUAAGACUCAUACAGAUAGAUGUUAAAUGGCUCUAUGUGGUAAUUAAUUUGUAAUAGAUGUAUAAGUUGUAAUUUCCGCUGUUCAGAUUUAUGUUUUCCGCUGCAUA